rnacentral:lncRNA from 1 species
AAAAUAUCUGGGAUAUCUGAAAAAUCUGAAAAUUAAUAUAUAUGUAUGUAUCUAUUUAUAUAUUGUGGAAUAUCAAAUAAUAUGUUGGUGUAGUUUCACUAUAAUAAAAAUGAUUUAUAGCGACACUUUUAAAUAUAGGUACAUGUCAAAAAAAUGCUGCUAGCUAAAAUUACCGACACUUUUAAAAAGUGUUGCUAUAUGUGGGGUCGCUAGGUAUAUAGUGAUAGUUAAAGAGUGAAGAGUGCUGCUAAUUUACCAACACUUAUUUAAGCAUUUAGCAACCGUCGAAACUCUAUCUCGUUAGCUGCGGUGGCGCAGGAGGAUGACAGGAAAGGCUCUUCGUCUAGAAUUUCAGUGGAUUGAGUGAAGAGAAAAGAAAAUAUGGUAAUUGAUUUUUCUUUUCUUUUUUUUUCUUUUCUGUUUGUAAUCGGGCCAAAUGGACUGGGUGUUGUGGGUUGAGUAGAGUAAUCUUUUAUUUUUGGUUGGAUUGAGCUUUAUAUUUAGGCAUUAGUAGAUAUUUUUUUAAGUUUUAGUAUACAUGGGACACUUACUUAAAAGUGUUCCAAACAUGUGUCCCUAUAACCUAAUUCUGUUGUAGUGUUUGCAUUGUAGAAGGCUUGCGAAGAAAGCUAGCUGAG